CAUGCACUUAACCACUUCACGUGCAGCCAGUGCUGUGGAGUAUUAAGGGUCGUCCCAGGUCGUGGGCACCUCUAUAAUACUUGAGAGAGUUUAUUUAGCAGAUAAGGCUCAUGUUAUUCUUUCAUGCUCACAACUUGUGCAAACCCCCUGACAAUUCACAGCCGAGGUCUCUUGACACCUGUGGAGAUCAGUAAUGCCAGGGUUCCAGCUUUUCAACCCUCUUGGACCAGGUUCUCCCUCCAUCAGUGGUUCUCUUUUGAUAGACUAGGGUGUAGUGGGCAUGGAACAGCAAAAGGCCUGAGUUAGCAAUCAUUCAAAUUAACACAAGCCUUCAUAUUGACUUCCAAGGCCUGAAGUAAUCCCAAAAAGCUCAGCAAAGAGGAUAUAAGAAGCAAAGCGUAGUCCUCCAUGAUUUGGAGGACAGGAGCUUUCUAAUAUGGUAAAAGCAAUCAGCACCAAAGCACCUUGUCUAGAGUGCGAGGGUUUUAAGUCUUCUGUUAAGCAGCCCCUCUUAUGCCAAGUAAGUGAACAUGAAAGCAGGAGCAUCUGCCAAAGCUUUUAAGCCAGAGGAACUGUUUGUUCUGAAUACUCAGAGCCUUCACUGAGGUCACUGAUCCAACCGAGCCUCACAAUCUUGCGUUUGAGAAGCAUCUGGCCAAAGGGAGCCCAUAAGCUGCAGAUCUGGGAUUGAGCUUGUCCCGGCUGUGAUGUAGACCAGAGCAAGCUGAGAGCUGCCGCCAUUACGCAUGUGGGACACAUCCCGUAGGAAGCACUGCCUGUCAGUGGUGGCUAGAAUGAACCCAGAUUUCUUCUGGUGGUAUCAGCCUAUCCCCAAACUCUUUCAAUGUAGGGACUGACUGGAAAUACCAAGGAAGAUGGUGUUGGAUAUGGAGGGUGAGCAGCCUCCAGUCCAGGUGCUUCACGUUCUUUUGGGCUCCUGCAGGCAAGAGAAUCCAUCCUCAUCAUUUCCCUGAAGGAAAGAGCAUCUGAAAGAGAGGAAGUUCUUAGAAGCUGGAGAAACCAAAGCCUUCAAACCUGACCAGUGUUUUUGCUGUCCCUCUGUGGAAGUCAUUGCAAAGAGACUUGCUGGCCUUCUGCUCUGGGGGAAGAUGUGUUCUCACAUAGUAUCUCAGUUCAUAACAAAAAAGGCUUCUGUACACUGAAUAUAAUAGCAGAUGAGAAACAGAGCAGAAUAGGUUAGGAGGCUGUGUUCAGCUUAAAACAGCAAAUAGUGUUUCCAGCCAAGCAUAAGGGUAGUCCAUAGUGUCAGCUGCUGUGUCUCUCCCCGAUUAACAGGUCAAGAAACCUCCAUUUUCCACAGCCCCGUGUUCUGCAGCGAGAGUGGCAACAUGCACUUCUGCAAAUGCCAAACCAGACAAGCGACGCUCGCUCACUGGCAGUGGUCUGGGCAUUGAUAUUUCUCAAUUAGGCAUUCAGCUCCAUCCCUGCAUGCUGAGUUUAGCAGCUUAAAACACUGUUGCCACCCCUGCCGCAUAGUUUGCUCUCAGAGCACGCUGACACAGGGUGUCCUCUCACCGCCCCAGAAGCAGGACAACAGCACAGGAUUUAUGGAGCCUGAGGGAAUGAUUUGCUGGAGCAUACAAUGUUGGCUUAGUGCCGCUACCGUGGAGGUCGGGGACGAAUCUGCCAUUGGCUUAUGUGGCAGCUGGGACUAUCGAAAAAAUGCCACCCUUGGGCUCUGUGAACUUGGGCUGCUUUCUCUAUCCCGCAGUAGAAUUGAAAACUUAUUUCAUCCAUAGUCCUGUGGAGAGGCUGGGCGGUAGAGAAGAGCUAUCCAGACAAGCGUCCUUUUCUUCCUGACAGCACUGUGAGAUCUGCCCUUUAACUGGGCUCCUCCACAAAGGGACAAAAUCACAACCCUUUAACCAGGAGCUUUUCCACCACAUAGAUUUGCCUCCCAGGUAGAAGUCAGAGAGCCACUGGUUGUCAGAACCCAUCUAAGGCCUCACCCCAAACUUCAGUUGAACUUUGCAACAGCUUAUCCUGCAUGGUAGUUUUUCUCCUUGUUUAAACAGGUACCCAGGCUCAAGCAAAAAGCGAUGGAAUCAAAAUCCUGGGAGACCCACUAUGCAUGACUAUCACGGUUUAAGCACCACUGUUGUGCUUUCUGAUAGUCAUAUCCAGGCAGUGUGGUGCUGGUAAGUAGAAAAAACAUCUGAAAAGAAUUUCAGAACUUAAGUCAUGCAACUCAAGUAAUGAAACAGCCAAGCAAAGAGCUAGAAAGGCACUGAAAUGAAGCCUGAAAAGUCUUGCCAAUGUCAACAGACAAAAUCUGCUGUGCACCCAGCCUUAACAGGAAGCAGGAAUUCCAUGCCUAGAGAUGUCUUCUGAACAGAAACUCCUGGAGAUGUAAGCUCUGUCAGAGCACUGGCCCUUGGAUGGCACCAGCCAACAGGUCUCUGGUGAGAUGGCAAAACGGAUUCCUCUGAAGUAACGCAUGCUGUUAUCUCAGAGCACAUUACAAAGCCGAGGUGGACCUGGCAUUUCUAUUGAAGUUCAAGUCAUCCUUGUUUCGGUGGAAAUGUAAUUCUGCAGCCCUUUAGUGAUUCUUCAGCUGUGGAGGUCCAGAGUCUAAGGUCAGGCCCUCAUAAAUGAGAAUUUACUCAUGCUCAGCUGACUCUGGUGUUGCCCUUUGAAUAGACACAUCAACAAUACGAGUUAAACUGCCUCACCCACUUCCACUAACCCCCUGCCUUUUUCGUACCAUUUUGUCAAUGCAAACUGGAAGUAGAGAUGACAACUCAGACCUGCCAGAGUGAACUUUGGCUGCAGUGUGAACUGUUUACCCUGGCCGCCGGGUAGUAUCACCCACCAGGCUCCAAAAUCAACAUGAACUACAUGAUCUGAUGGGCUUAGAUAACAUUCACUAAGAGCAGACAGAGCAACACUAGAGAAGUAAACCAUCAUACUCCGACUACCGCUUUGUGAAUUGCAACACAGUGCAGCUGCAAUACACUUCUCUGCCCAAAGAAAGGGGACACACAGCUUGAUAACUGAAAUCCCACUUCACCCACCUACACAAACGGGGACUGAGUCACGGGCCUAGAUGCUGUUACGUUGGAGUACUGGGGGCUGUUUGUAACACAAGCUGUCUGCCAGCACGUGAUCGUGCCUGCUUGUACUAACUUAAAAGAAGCUACACGUUUAGAAGCGUGCCCCCUUUCAGGCUACGUCUCUAACGCAGCAGCCUCCUAGCACUGCUCUUAGCGCUGGUCCCUUGCACUGUUCUCAGUCUGUCCUUCAGAACUCUGCCCAAUGGUCCCUGGAAAAUUUCCCGGAGUGGUUCAGCUGACAGUAGCAUUAAAAAUCACAGCAUGUGUCUGUAGGCUUCUUUGUAUCGAACAGUCAGAGAGAGCACACAGCAGAGACGUAACUGUCACAGCCAUGCUCUUAGAAGACUGCUUCUGUCUCAGGGUAUGUCUUUACCAGAGAUGACCAUCUCCAAGCAGACAGCUGCAGAUCUCACUCCAGUGAAAACCGUUUAUUCCCCUAACAGCUGUAGAACUUCAAGUCUGUGCUGCAAAAUCCACUACUCCAGUUCUACCCUUAAUUUGAGGGUCAUCCACACACAAAACCUCUUAAAUCUUUCCGCUGGCACAUCGAGAUAAAGAGUAACAUUAUUAUGAAUGCCAGUCACUGCUACGACAGCCUCCCUGCCACACUAAUUUCCCAGGACUGCCGUUGAACAGAUUCCUUGCGCUGUCCUCCUCAUCUUGUCCUUGAGAAUUCUGCCCAUUAUUCCUUGGAAAUUUUCCCAGAGCGGUUCAGCUUACAGCAGCACUAAGAAUCACAGCACAUGUCAGUAGAUGCUUUUGUAUCAGAUGUACUGAGAUACAAUGCAACAGAGGCUUGAUUAUCACAAGGUUAGCUCUGUUAUAUCCCUUCUUGGUUAUUAAAAAAAAAAAAAAGGAAAGGAAUGAAUAAAGAAAGAAGUCAUCAGCAAGAAGCCACAAACCCUUCCUUUAAGCGGUAACUAGGCUACCAUUUUUUGGAACUUUUCCUGAUAUAACAAAAGACACCAUGAAGACAGGAACUUUGGCAGCAGCGGUUUUGAACUCCACAACCCCUAAUCUUCCUCUGGUUUUCUAUGCAUGUGUCACUGGAAAUAUAAUCAACUUGCUAGGAAAACAGUCAACCUCCAAACAGCUAUCUAAGCAGCAGCAAGCCUCUGGAAGUGACUGCUGCUAGAACUGAAAGAAGCGAAGGCAGCCCCAAAUUCCUGAACUGAUGCAUCUCCUCUUUUGCCUGAUGACUAUCACCACAGUGACUGCAGGAGCUGCCACUGAGCCCUGGCUCUGUGGCUCGGGCCAGGGGUGCAGAGGACAUAGCGCUGGGAGGGAAGUGACUUGGGCGCAGGGACCAGUGAAGGAGAUGUGGGCUGUGGGACAGGGUGCUGGAAGCAGCCUUGGUGGUAGGAAGGAUGAUUUAAAAUGGGAAGAGGUGCAAGCGUCUUCACUGAAUACCAGCCUCAGAGGGCUAGCACAGGCAAAGGUACGGCAGGGUUAUGAGAGGAGUCAGAAGGUGAAGGAAGAGGGGUUGAGGCUGAGGAGCAUGAAAGAAGGACUUGACAGCAACGCAGAAAAUGCAGUUUAGCUGGAGCUGGGACAAGCUGAUUAAUUCCCCUCGACAUCAUUUGUGUGGACUGCUCCCUCUCCCGGGGAAAUCUUGCCAAAAAAAAUGAAAAAUAACCACAAUCCAAACCAUUUCUUCAAGCAAACAACGCUCCCACAGAGCUCACAGGCAGACAGUCCCCAUGCUUCAGGUUCCAGUCGGAGAGGGCAGGGUGUGAGACCCCCACGCUGCCCUUCCCAGUGCGUGAUUCCGUCCUGGCUGGAGGAGCCCAGGGUGGUCAGGCCACCACCGCAGGGCUAAGCACCGCUCCAGCCGGCACAGCCCACAGCCACCUCUGCUCCCUGCUAUGGCAGCACUGCCAAGCAGCGCCUGGACCACCCUCCCCUCCCAAACCAGCAGCUAGGUGCUUACAAGCACUUCUCAGGGUGAGCGUUGGAGUGGAAAUGCCUCUUUUCUGGGAAUUGGACAGAGAUUAUCAGUUCCAGUCAUGACUGCUGGUAAGGACUGACAUUUUUAGCCAGAGAAAUAAAUUUCAGAGUCUGUAAGUGAGAAAAAGGAAGGACAAUCCUGAAACAUACUCUUGUGGUGAGAAAUAAAUCACCACUUACCUACCCUUUACUCCUUUAGGAUACCAAAGCCCAGUUAAAAUCUUCGCAGCGAAGCUAGCUCAGGAGAUCCUGCAAGAAGAUUAGAACCAGCUGCUGGAAAAAUGGCAUGUUACAGCAGCCAGCAAAGAUCCACAUGAAGCAGCCCUGGAGAGGUGAAAGGCUCUGCUGAGCUUAGCAGCUCAUGAGCAUAUACCAUACUGGCUGAUACUGGUCUACAACUAAUGCCCCUUUAGCCUCUUCCUUCUAAAUCCUUGCCCAGCUGGAGCGGGGAGGGGGGGAAGAUCUCUGCUGUGGAAAAGUUACGGUUCAAAUACACACAAUUAAAAAUGAGAGAAGAGUUAUUUCCAUUUUACAGAGGGGAAAAGGGGGACACGUUUGCCUGUAAAGAGGAAGCAGUGGCAGAGCUGCCAAAAAACCUAACGCUUUCCAAAUCCCUGGAGUUUGCCCGAAGUCAUCCACCUUGUCGAGCUGCACGUGCUACGUCAGCUUUGUGGAAGCUUUCACCCUGGUGAUGCAAGGAAGAAAAAAAGCUUUGCUUGAUUCUUAGCAGUCUAUGAUGGUCAUCAUGUGAUACCACGUCGGGCAAUCACGCAUGCCAUCAGCAAAGGUCACAAGACGCACAGCCAUUCCUCUCGGCUUUACAGCUGCUUUCCAGAGCCAAGGCUCCUCCUUCUUACACCAGUUUGUGGUCAAGUGAAGCAGCACUCAUGCCUGCCGAGCACUGGGAAGCCCUAUGCGAUGGUCAGGCCCUGUAAGAGGCACACCGGUUUUUGUCUGCAGGCACCAGCAAGAGAACCGUAAUGGAUUUGCAAAAUCUAAUUAGCCUAAAUAGAUUCUUACUGCAACUGCAGCUUCUUGGCAACAUAAAAGGGAUACAAGUCUCACUUCUACAGAUAUGCUAGGUUUGUAUGGGGGGAAGAGCGUUUCCAAAAGAUAAAAAGGAACAGAGGAAGGUUACUGUUGCCCUACAUCUUCUGUAAGCUAGAAAAGGAAAGAGGUCUAAUUGUUUUACUGACCAUGGGAGUUAUGGCUACCUAAUUCAAGACUCAUAAUACAUGCACAGAAGUCUGCAUAACUAGGAAAAGCCCUUGUCCUGAGGAGCUUAUAGCUUUAUUAGCCUUACAGGCUUUGUUAGGCAAUAGGUGGUAUCAUCCUUGUUUUACAGAGACCAGGAGCCAGAGUUCAAAUGCUUCGGUGACUUGUAAGGCAACUCUAGUAAGGCAAGUGCGAAGGGCAACAGGAACAGGAGAAGCACUAAAUAUAAGGUGGAAAAGUUCAAGAGUAUAAAAAAAUACUAUCCGUUGCAGGCUUCCCUGACCAAAGCAGCCAAGCAGCCCGAUUCCCAGGCGCCCACGCUGCUCCCUUUCCCCCGAGGCUGGCACCACUGCCGCCGGGGCUGCGGCACGGGAGGGCAGCUGGUGCCUCAGGUGCUUUGCCACCAGCCUGCCUCUACCAGAGGUCACACACACAAGCUGGGUGGCUGAGGCAGGGGACAGGUCCCUUCUGCUUCCCUCGGCAUGCUGCUUCUGGCAGGGGCACUUCUCUCAUGAGCUCUGGAGAAGCGCAGCUCGCAGGGCGCUCACCCCACCGACACCUGCGACCACUUCUCCGCUGAUGAGAAGCAUCUGCGUACGCUUUAGAAUUGGCAGCACCUCCUCUCUCUUCACCUUCCUUUCUGUCAGCCAAUUUGACUUUCCGGAGCACCCAACCUCAGCCAGACUUUCAAAGCAGACCAGGGUUUGGGCACUGUUCUGCUUUCUUUUUCUGCAGAAGUAAAAUUUGCCUUCUGGGGUUCAGUUCGGGGGCACACAAACAGCUUUUAACAGCCAGUCAACAUCUCCUGCAUCUCUAAACACCAUUGUACCACUGGACUAGCUGGUCAGUGUCAGGGAAUGCUUAAACCUGCACAGAAGGUGACGCAUCAGGUCUCUUCUCUGCACUUUAAACUGGGUUUAGGAGAUCAGCGCCACUUCAGUCUGGCACCGCUCGGCUCUAUUCCCUUAAGGCAGCCAGUUCAUGUUUCUGUGCCCCAACGCCUCCAUCUCUUUGCCACCGUAACUGAUCCCCUUCAUAGAUCAUUUUGAUACGUGGUAGAUUAUUGCUGCAUUGAUCUCAGUCAUUUUUGAUCCAAAAAAGGGAUAGGCAAAAAUAAGAGUCCUGAAGUUUAAAGCCAUGGUUUCCGUGGGAGCAGCAAGCCAGGGCUGCCAGAGCAAGCAGGGGCGGCACACCCUGGACUGAGGGAAGGCCAGGCAGUGUUUGGUACAUCUUCCGCUGCUUGUAUUCCUCCAUAGUUUUCAUUAAGACUUCACAGAAAUGAAUCUACUAUUUAGAUAAUAAAUACCUUACGUUGUGGGGGAGAAUAUCAAGUAAACCAAACACGAGGGUUCAGUAUUCCAGAAAGAGAUGCUGACUAGGUGGCCGGGAUCUUCCAGCUCAUAGCAUGGAGGUGCGACCCCUGCGCACUGGUUUUUACUGGUUUUAAAGCGGCCCGUAGCAACCAAACAGGCAGAGCCAACUUGUUUUCACUCGAUUUUGGGAGCUGUAAGACCAGCCAGCAACCCCUCCCCCCCCAGGAACGCACGCAGCAUUCCUGAGGCAAGUGUUAAUGCUGGAUCUUGACCAAGAAACGAUUCCUACAGACUCAGCGAUGAGGAGGAUGUUACACCACUCGCCUCUUCCCACUCUUUUUCCCUGCUAGCCCUGUGCCUCCUGUACUUGCGCCUCGCCCGCUCCCAGGGCCUUUGGCACAGGGACGUGCGGCACAGCCUGUGUCCUUCACACCAGUGAUUCCGGCUUGUGGGAACAGCAGAAACUCAAGGCAUGGAUGAGGCUGGAAAAUCCCAAAGGAGAAACCUCCUGCAGGUGGAAUACAGAAGGAUUAAAACCAGCAAGAGCAAGCUAUUCCCCGAUUCCCCUUGCCGAGCGUUGCUCUGGCUUGGCUGGCUCCCUCCCGCCGGCUCACGCUGGUUGGGUGUUCUCUUCCCCCGGUACCAUUCAGACGCACUCCUGGGAUAUGACACGGUAAAGAGCAAUAAAGCGCCAAACCGCUUGUAACUAACACCGGCCGGUUCCUAAAGGGAUAUUCCUCCCUCGGAAUGUGAGUGCCACCUUGUGCUGGGAACAUAACAGUCCAUGGAUAAAAGCUUGUCCAGACCAGUAACCCAGAGAAGGGCGACAAGAAACCACCAUCUCCCGAGUGAAGCUGCACCGGCCGUUUGGAUGUUUGGGGACCUUCCGUGCUGGAGCCAGCCAGCCCCGUCCCAGCACCCUGCUGCCGGGUGGGUGCUGUGCGGGGGGCAGGGGGCUGCAGCCCCCCGCUCUGCAGGCGCGCGCCAAGCCCAGGCAGCAGCACAGGGCCUGGCCCAGCCAAGGGCACCAACAGCUACAGCUGGUGGGUGCCAGCUCUGUCCUCGGCAAGUCCAGGGAGAAACAAGGUGGCACCUUCGUAAAAUUUUGCCGAGUGUUCCCGAGGUCCCCGUUGGCAACAGCCAAGCGUGUAAGUAAUACAGGUGUGGGAGACGAAGCAGUGAAACGCAACAAGCAUUUACAGAGCAACUUCCAGAUGCAAAGUACUGCUCUCCUAAAGCAAUGCGCAGGUGAGAGAAGCCAGCUGGCUUGCUCGCGGGGAAGAAAAGCAGGGUUUGAGUCUCCUAUUUGUUUCUUUAAAAUUCACUUUGAGGCUUUUUCUCUAAAGAUGGAUUAAGUUUCAUCUGGUCAAAUUAUGUGAGAUGCCUCAAGCGAGUUUCUGAGAAUGCCUGCUUCUCUGCAGUGAUUUGGGGCGGGGGGGGGCUUUAGCAUCGUCAGCCUGAUGGAAAAGUUUUUCCGUUCAUUUGUUCAAAAAUGGGAGGUCGUUACUGUGUGAAAAUACAUGUCAAAGCUAAAAGAUUUUGCACUGCUGUUGAUCAAUUUAAAUUUAACCUUUCUAUAACUUGGAAUAUUUUUGCAAGCCGGCUAUAGCCUCAGAAACAGUAUUGCUUUGAGUUUUAUUCACUUCGGGUUUCUCCACGAACUUAAGAGGGGGAAAAAAAAAAAAAAGGCAGCUUCUGGAAAAUAUUUCUUUAGCAAGGUAGGAAUUCCUUUGCAAACACCUUGGAAAGGAACAGGGUGUGAGUAUCCUGUUCAUGACAACUGCUCACAGUUAAAAUCCAGUAACCUGAAUUUUGCAGUUAAGACUACAGCUAGGAACUCUACGGAUUGAAAGAGCCACAAGGACAACACCUUUUUCUCAAAGCAAAGGUGAUAAACCCAGGAAAUUCAGAUUUCAAGUGAUGUUCAAAAGAAAUCUGGCUGUGCCACGGAAUUGCAAUUAAAGCACACAGCUCUUAUCCCAAAGGGUCUCACACAAAGCAAAACUGCAAAGCCACACAUCUAAGCAGUCCGUCCGUCCCCAGCAAGACAGAGCUGUGUAUAAAGGUUACGCUCUGUGUGCAUGCUCACAAGGCUGAGUCAAACCAAGAGCACUAAAUGAGUCAUUUCCCCAUUAGCGAUUAACCACCACAGCUGCCUGUGGGCAGGGGGAGCACACCUCGGCUUUUUGACACUGCGCUCCGAGCGGGGAGGGAGGACCCUCCGCUGGAACUGCAGAGUUUCAGAGAUGUCAACCAGAGCUGAAUUUUACCUUCUCUCUCCCAGACUCCUGCCGUGGUCCUCAUGCUAAUGCUCAGCACCACCCGUCCACAUCGGCGUGAGGACAACCACGAGCACUCACCGGGAGCACCGGACCAGUUCCACAGUCCUAGACGCAAGCUCUCAGGUGGCUUUUCCAGUCUCCAAACACCUUUCUCCUCUCCCUGUAGACGUGCCGCUUCUGGGGCAUUUGCACCUUGCCUGCAUCUUUUUCCAGGGCACGUGCGCCUUGCCUGCAGGUCGGGUCAGCUGCACGGGGUGGAAGCGUGAUACUGGAAAAGCCCUUAAAGAAAGGGCCUGAAGAUGGAGUAAAACAUGAAACUCCCAGACGGAAGCGGUAAGCAGGGAGCGAGCAGAGGACCCUGUGACCCAAAUACUUCCCAGCAGGGAGGCACACCAUUUAAUCGGAUGCUGGAUGCCACUGACGUGGGGGCAUCCAUCCAUGUGCUCUGCCCGACAGCGCUGUGAGAAGGGCCAUGCCCAUACAAACUAAUUACUGAUUAGCCUAAUAACUCUAUCCUUAAUAUUUGAUUACAACACUUUUACUGACAGCAUAAUUACUGCCCAACCUAGCAGAGAAGCACCGCACACAAGCAGGCAUGGGACAGCCAUCAUCAUCAUCAUCAUCGGUUAGAUACAAUCUGCCUGUCCUCACUAGCUGACAGCACGGGCUUUCCCUUCCUCCCUACCACACACUCCUCAUCCUCAUCUCCCUGCCAGCCUCUGCAGGUCCUGCACGUCCCGGCCACCCUGAUACACCGCUCAGACCCAAGAAGGUCCAUCUCUGGCAGCGGCCGGUAAGGCAAGGCUGGCACAUGGGCAACACGUUCACACGCUCCUUUUACAAGCAAUACUCCCGGUUUCCUCAAACCGACCCGAGCUCAGUGGUGUAAACUCUCCGUUAAGUGACUACACUUACAAACACCACCAUCGGUGCUUCCUGCGCAUAGCUACAGCUUUAGAAUUGGUGUACUAUAAACCUAGAAAAUAUCAAUGUUUUCUGUAUUUCUUCUGCAAAGAAAAGGCUUUUAAGUUCUGGGGGGUUUGGUUGGUUGGUUUGUUUGUUUUUUAACAUAAAGAUGAGAUGCUACCUUUCA